rnacentral:rRNA from 1 species
CCUACGGGUCGUAAAGCCCUGUCAGGUGGGAAGACUGUCCCGGGACUGAACAGGUUUCGGGAGUGACGGUACCACCAGAGGAAGCACCGGCUAACUCCGUGCCAGCAGCCGCGGUAAUACGGAGGGUGCAAGCGUUAUUCGGAAUUACUGGGCGUAAAGCGCGUGUAGGCGGCCCUGCAAGUCUGAUGUGAAAGCCCCGGGCUUAACCCGGGAAGUGCAUUGGAAACUGCAGGUCUUGAGUACUGGAGAGGAUGGGGGAAUUCCCGGUGUAGAGGUGAAAUUCGUAGAGAUCGGGAGGAAUAUCAGUGGCGAAGGCGCCCAUCUGGACGGUAACUGACGCUGAGACGCGAAAGCGUGGGGAGCAAACA